CAGAGUUGCAAAACUCCCAACCCUUUGUGAACGUACUUGCAAAGUUUGCCUCGGCGGGAGGCUCCUCAGGGAGCCGGACCGCCGGCGGACUGCCAAACUCUGUUUUUGACUAUCUCUGAGUAGCUUAUUCAAUAAGUUA
rnacentral:misc_RNA from 1 species